UAGUUUAAGGAAAUAAUCUUAAAUGUAUUCUGCCCAAUGAUUUUUUAAAUGGCCGCAGUACCUUGACUGUGCUAAGGUAGCAUAAUCAAUUGGCUUCUAAUUAAAGUCUGGAAUGAAAGGAAAAAUGAAGUAAUUCUGUCUUAAAAAAUUUUUUUUAAAUUUAUUUAAAUGAUGAAAAUAUCAUUUUUUAGAAAAAAGACGAGAAGACCCUUAGAGUUUUUAUUAUUUUUUUUUGUUGGGGCGACAAGUAAACAAUUUAAACUUUACUAAUUUUUUUUUAAUCGAUUUAAUAAUAAGAUUAAUUAAACUACCUUAGGGAUAACAGCAUUAUUUUAUAUAUGAUUGUGACCUCGAUGUUGGACUAGGAACUUUAUGGUUAGCCGUCAUAAAAGAUUUGUUCGUGUUCGAACAAUUUUAUCCUAC
rnacentral:rRNA from 1 species